UACGUAGGGUGCGAGCGUUGUCCGGAAUUAUUGGGCGUAAAGCGCUCGUAGGCGGCCUGUCGCGUCGGAUGUGAAAGCCCGGGGCUUAACCCCGGGUCUGCAUUCGAUACGGGCAGGCUAGAGUUCGGUAGGGGAGAUCGGAAUUCCUGGUGUAGCGGUGAAAUGCGCAGAUAUCAGGAGGAACACCGGUGGCGAAGGCGGAUCUCUGGGCCGAUACUGACGCUGAGGAGCGAAAGCGUGGGGAGCGAACAGG
rnacentral:rRNA from 1 species